UAGGGAAUCUUCCACAAUGGACGCAAGUCUGAUGGAGCAACGGCCGCGUGAGUGAAGAAGGCUUUCGGGUCGUAAAGCUCUGUUAUUGAAGAAGAACGUGUGUGACAGUAACUGGUCAUGCAGUGACGGUAUUCAAUCAGAAAGUCACGGCUAACUACGUGCCAGCAGCCGCGGUAAUACGUAGGUGGCAAGCGUUGUCCGGAUUUAUUGGGCGUAAAGCGAGUGCAGGCGGUCUUUUAAGUCUGAUGUGAAAGCCUUCGGCUUAACCGAAGAAGGGCAUCGGAAACUGGGAGACUUGAGUGCAGAAGAGGAGAGUGGAACUCCAUGUGUAGCGGUGAAAUGCGUAGAUAUAUGGAAGAACACCAGUGGCGAAGGCGGCUCUCUGGUCUGUAACUGACGCUGAGGCUCGAAAGCGUGGGUAGCAAACAGGAUUAGAUACCCUGGUAGUCCACGCCGUA
rnacentral:rRNA from 1 species